CUCUAAUUCGAGUUGAAAGUAUCCGUCUUUCACUCUAAAUAGAGUUGUCCGCCAUAUGGCUAUUGCAAGAGUGGUAUGGCGGACAAUUAAGAGAGCAUCAAGACAUCUUUUACAUUAAGAGAGCAUGUCAUCAGAUGAUACAAAAGCUAACUUUUUUUUCUUCUUCCGUUUAUGCAGAUUCUGUUUUCUUCUGAACAUGAUGAUGAACCAGUCUAUCCCCGCUGUUAUCUUCAGCCAAGGGGGUCUACCUGAAGGUUCAAAACAUUGAAGGCAGAACAUGUUAAGUAACUGACUUAUCAACAGUUCAUCAACACACUUUCCUAAAGGGGAUGUCGUGGAAGGUGAUUGUGCAUUGCUGACAAUUCUGGAACACAUAGAGGAUGGCAAUUUGGUGAAAGCUGUCUUGCGCAGUGAUGACUACAGCUGGAGCUGUUGCAAUAUGAAUCGGUGAAGGAAACCUCAGAAAGUCAGCAACAGACUGCAUGUUUGAGAUACAUUGAUGUGAGGCUAACCAAUGUUUUGUUGACUGUGCUACAACCUAAGAGGAAUGUGUCCACUCUAACCAUGAUUCUACACACGGUCAACUAUCCGACUAAACUCAACUGGACCAUGAUGGCGCCCUCUACUGACUGUAUUAUGACACUCGAGGAGAAGGCUAUCUAAGGGCCUUUUACAAACCUCGGCUUGGGUUCCAGCUCUGGCUUCAGGCUCGGUUAGAAGCACAGUGCUCCCAAACCUUAAAACAAAACCCAUGGAAAGCCAGAUCCAGAGCUAGACAAAGUUUAAAGCCCGGUUCAAACUUUGAAAGUUUCGACAGUUGAACCCUGUUAACUGCUUCGAAACAUUACCUGCGAACACCUUUGCAUUCGCAGGAAGUAUGAGCCUGACUUGAUGUUUACCUCAUAAUGUAUUCUUAUGUAGUUUAAUUACUUCCCUGAUUCCAUCAAAACCCAAAGCCAUAAUUGCAACUCGGUAUCCCCCCCCCCCCCCCCCCCGACUUAAAAAGGGAU